AGGGGAUAUGGCGGAAUGGUAGACGCUACGGACUUAAAAUCCGUUCUUGUGCGAACAAGGUGAGGGUUCAAGUCCCUCUUUCCCCA
rnacentral:tRNA from 1 species